GGGAGGUAGCAGAGCUGGUGAGUGUGUGUUGGCUUGAGAUCAGGGGCAAAAUAGAGACAGAGAUCCUCUCUCCAGGGACAUUAUAUGCAGUCUAUUUGGUUUUCAAGCACACAACCUCCAACUAUGGCUUCCAACAACAGCCGGUCGAGGCCUCUGUUGGCCUUGUUGGUACAGAAACUCCAAAGCAAACUGUGUAUUUAGAUGCUGUAGAUAGAGAAUGGCGACGGCGCCACCCAAUUGUGC
rnacentral:misc_RNA from 1 species